UACGAAGGGGGCUAGCGUUGUUCGGAAUUACUGGGCGUAAAGGGCUCGUAGGCGGCCAACUAAGUCAUACGUGAAAUCCCUCGGCUUAACCGGGGAACUGCGUCUGAUACUGAUUGGCUUGAAUCCGGGAGAGGGAUGCGGAAUUCCAGGUGUAGCGGUGAAAUGCGUAGAUAUCUGGAGGAACACCGGUGGCGAAGGCGGCAUCCUGGACCGGCAUCGACGCUGAUGAGCGAAAGCCAGGGGAGCAAACGGG
rnacentral:rRNA from 1 species